rnacentral:lncRNA from 1 species
GCUGCCGCCUUGCAGUUUGAUCUCAGACUGCUGUGCUAGCAAUCAGCGAGACUCCGUGGGCGUAGGACCCUCUGAGCCAGUCACCAAUGCUGCUCAUUGCAAUGUAUGGAGUGAAAGAGGCUGCCAUCGGUAUCCAGAAGAAGGUGUUACUUCGGUACCCAUACUCAUAAUCCAUAUGCUCCUGAAAUCAUGUGGAACAUGCAACUAGGACCUUCUGAACACGUAGCCUGAUUUACUUAUGAAGAAGCAAAUUCAACCAAGUGAUACGAAUUGUCUAAGGUCAUACAGUUAAUAACUUGUAAGCCUCUGGUAACCAUCAUUUGAC